CAGUUAGCAAAAAGGGCCCUCGACUCAGGUUAUUUUGCUUCCGAUGCCCUUCUCCUCCAAACACGAUCCCCUCUGCGGCCGGCGGCCGGCAGUAGCACGGGCACCUCUCCAAACCCUAAUGGCGUCGCAGCUCCCUCCUGGACCUACCCUCUCGUUCAUCUCCCUCUAUCUCGCUGAAGGUGGCGGCGGCACAGAUCCGGUGCCUAGCUGGGCGAGUACGCCCGUGUAGGUGCCGUUCCAUCUGCGCUCCGACGGCUCUUCGCCGUCUCGUCAGCGGCGGCCCGGCUGCUUUGAACGGACCUCUCCAUGUGCUAAGCUGCGGUUGCGGGGGAACAAACUCGCCUCGAUUUAUCAUGCGUGUAACAUACUGGAGCUCGGCGGUGGCAUCGUCUACAUCUGUUUAUUUGUCCCGUGUUUCACUUCUCUGCUCUGCUGGCACGAUUUUUUGUGUGACAUUUGUUCAGGAAACAUAGCAGCGGCUUCAAAGUAUUUUCUCUAAAACAUGUUACCAAUUUUUGGGAGAACUAGCAUUCCAUUGCUGCUACAACUUCUGUGAGACUGCGCUUUCUUCAAUUUGAAGUAACCUCUUCCAAUUUAUUGUGGCUACAAUCUGAAGCAUCUUACAAAUAAGUUGAGUUAGAAUCAUUCUUUGGUGUGUGGUAUGUCUCUGGAACUUUGGUUGUGCAUUUCCUUUCACUUUUGCAUUGUGUUGAAGAAAUAUAUGCAUCUCUUUCACCUGAUUAACCCAUCACAUCCCAUUUCAGUAGAGUCAAAUUCACAUCAAAGUUAAUUAAUAUUCUCCUCUUUAAUUAUAGCAUUGACAUUAAAAAUGUUAUCUCUGAAUCACAACAGUGGACUUACCCAACUCUCUAUUGUUUUCUGUAAAUAAUAGAAGUAAUUGUACUUGCUGUAAGUAUACUCUCUGAUUCUCUGCAAAUAUGCUUGUAAGGCCAUAAAUAGACUGUUCAUAUAUGUAUUCUUCAACAAGUCCAGUAAAUCAUGGAAGAGCAAUAGAUAUGCACUUGUCUCCAUUAUCCAUGUCUAAUAUUAUUGACUGAGAUGUUGCUGUUGCAAGACAACUAAGACUUUUGAGAUUGAGUGACGCUAUUCUUACAUACUAAUUUUGCGAAAAUUGUACAUACUAGUUCAAUCUGAUGGUGGUUAUUCCCAUGUUUUUCUCUAGGUUAAUAUUAUCCCUCUCACAGUACGUAGAUUUUUUGUGUAAAAGGGGCACCCAAGAAUAGGGUUUCUGUUUGAGAUUUUAGGGCUUCAGUAAGUAUAAAUUGUUGUUUUCACUUCACAUUCGUUGGUACCAGGUAUGAUUCCACUCUACUCCGAACCAUAAAUCAGACAACAUUACAUCUCUUUCCUUAGUGGAAAACAAACAUAUUUUUCUUCUAAAUUAUGCAAUAACACUCUGCUUGUAUACUUACAGCUACUAUGUUUUUGUUACAGUAGUGUAGAAACUGUAGUGGUAAACUGGGUGGAAAUUAACAGAAUUAUCAUGGUUCAGAUAACUAUUAUGUGCGAGCUACUACUCACCAAGCAAUAUAGGAAUGUAUGCACAUGACUGAACUAUAAUUCAAAUCUUUACAAACUUUUAAUCCACCAGAGAACAUAAUUAUUUCCUAUUCUUGCCUUGUAAUGUGAACUAUAAAAUUGUUCUUGUAUUUUGUAGAUGUAUGAUGCCCUCUGACCAGCUGAAGCAUCGGGACUGCAAAUGGAGAGAAGAGGUGUUUACCGAAGACUUCCCUUCCUUAUAGCUGCAAGAAUUUCUCUGCAGGAUAAUUUUAAUUCUUUUGUUGAGCAUACACCUAUGCGUGCUUGUGCUCAACUGAAGCUCGAACUGGAGGAAAAGACAGGUUUCAUGUCAUGUGCCAUCAAGAUAGUCCAGACUUCCCUUCCUUACAGUUCCUGAUCCAUUUUUAAUAGCAAUGCUUGUUGAGCAGUGAUCGUAUUAGUCCUUAGGUCCCAGUCUUGCCGGGCAUGUACUGAAAAUGAUCCUCCCAUGUAUCGGUCGAUAUGUAUGUAUGCCUCUUGUGUUGUGUUCCAUCUAUGAUGGCCCAGUUUGAAAUGUACAUUUAGUUAUGCUUGAAGAGUAUGGUAUAAUUUUCUCAAUGUACUCAGCAUAUUUGUGAUAGAUACUUGCAUACUUUUUCAUGACAAACAUCUUCAGUUUCCUUGCAUAACUAGCGAUGAUGUACUGAAAUAUACAUGUAUUUCAUGAA